AGAUUGUUCCCUGAUGAGGAAAGGUGAAGACGAUGACUGGUAUUUGAUACUCUGAGACUCAUUCCUGCACAAUAGGAAAAGGGCAACUAUUGUAACAGAUCCAGAAAGUCUAUUAUUAGCUGAUUGUGAUAGCACGGGUUUGAAUGACACUGACCGACGGUAAACAUAAUUAUUACUAUUUAAUUCUAUUAAUAGAAAUAAACAUCUACUUAAAAAGAUAAAAGUAAGAACAAACAAAAGUCAAAACAGGACACAGACAGUACGAUAAAAAAAUUAAAACUAAAGACUGGACAAUAGAACUAACUUCCACCUCCAC
rnacentral:lncRNA from 1 species